CCUACGGGAGGCAGCAGUGGGGAAUCUUGCGCAAUGGGGGAAACCCUGACGCAGCAACGCCGCGUGGGUGAUGAAGGCCUUCGGGUCGUAAAGCCCUGUCAGGUGGGAAGAAACUUGUGGAUGUUAAUACCGUCCACACUUGACGGUACCAUCGGAGGAAGCACCGGCUAACUCCGUGCCAGCAGCCGCGGUAAUACGGAGGGUGCAAGCGUUGUUCGGAAUUAUUGGGCGUAAAGCGCGUGUAGGUGGUCAGGUAAGUCAGAUGUGAAAGCCUUCUGCUUAACAGAAGAAGUGCAUUUGAAACUGCUUGGCUAGAGUACGGGAGAGGAGAGUGGAAUUCCCGGUGUAGAGGUGAAAUUCGUAGAUAUCGGGAGGAACACCAGUGGCGAAGGCGGCUCUCUGGUCCGAUACUGACGCUGAGACGCGAAAGCGUGGGGAGCAAACAGGAUUAGAUACCCUGGUAGUCCACGCCGUAAACGAUGGGCACUAGGUGUAGGAGGUAUUGACCCCUUCUGUGCCGAAGCUAACGCAUUAAGUGCCCCGCCUGGGGAGUACGGCCGCAAGGCUAAAACUCAAAGGAAUUGACGG
rnacentral:rRNA from 1 species